AGGACGAACGCUGGCGGCGUGCUUAACACAUGCAAGUCGAGCGGUAAGGCCUUUCGGGGUACACGAGCGGCGAACGGGUGAGUAACACGUGGGUGAUCUGCCCUGCACUCUGGGAUAAGCCUGGGAAACUGGGUCUAAUACCGGAUAUGACCUGCUCUCGCAGUGGGGGUGGUGGAAAGAUUUAUCGGUGCAGGAUGGGCCCCGCGGCCUAUCAGCGUUGUUGGUGGGGUAAUGGCCUACCGAAGGCGACGACGGGUAGCCGACCUGAGAGGGUCGACCGGCCACACGUGGGACUGAGACGACGGCCCAGACCUCCG
rnacentral:rRNA from 1 species